rnacentral:rRNA from 1 species
GUGCAGCAGGCGAGAAUUUUUCUCAAUGGGGGAAACCCUGAAGGAGCGACGCCGCGUGGGGGAUGAAUGGCUUCGGCCCGUAAACCCCUGUCAUUUGUCGAUCAAACCUUACGACUUAACACGUCGUAAGCUGAUAGUAGCGAAAGAGGAAGGGACGGCUAACUCUGUGCCAGCAGCCGCGGUAAUACAGAGGUCCCAAGCGUUGUUCGGAUUCACUGGGCGUAAAGGGUGCGUAGGCGGUCGGGUAAGUCUGACGUGAAAUCUUCAAGCUCAACUUGGAAACUGCGUCCGAUACUAUUCGGCUAGAGGAAUGGAGGGGAGGACUGGAAUACUUGGUGUAGCAGUGAAAUGCGUAGAUAUCAAGUGGAACACCAGUGGCGAAGGCGGGUCUCUGGACAUUUCCUGACGCUGAGGCACGAAGCCAGGGGAGCAAACGGGAUUAGAUACCCCU